AUUGAACGCUGGCGGUAUGCUUAACACAUGCAAGUCGAACGGUAACAGGCCUUCGGGCGCUGACGAGUGGCGGACGGGUGAGUAACGCGUAGGAAUCUGCCUCAUGGUGGGGGACAACGUGUGGAAACGCACGCUAAUACCGCAUACGCCCUACGGGGGAAAGCGGGGGACCUUUGGGCCUCGCGCUAUGAGAUGAGCCUGCGUUAGAUUAGCUAGUUGGUAGGGUAAAGGCCUACCAAGGCGACGAUCUAUAGCUGGUCUGAGAGGACGAUCAGCCACACUGGGACUGAGACACGGCCCAGACUCCUACGGGAGGCAGCAGUGGGGAAUAUUGGACAAUGGGCGCAAGCCUGAUCCAGCAAUACCGCGUGUGUGAAGAAGGCCCUAGGGUUGUAAAGCACUUUCAAUAGGGAGGAAAACCUGCCGGUCAAUACCCGGUAGCUUGACAUUACCUAUAGAAGAAGCACCGGCUAACUCCGUGCCAGCCGCCGCAGUAACAC
rnacentral:rRNA from 1 species